ACGUAGGGUGCGAGCGUUAAUCGGAAUUACUGGGCGUAAAGCGUACGCAGGCGGCUGGGUAAGACAGGUGUGAAAUCCCCGGGCUUAACCUGGGAACUGCCUUUGUGACUGCAAGGCUGGAGUGCGGCAGAGGGGGAUGGAAUUCCGCGUGUAGCAGUGAAAUGCGUAGAUAUGCGGAGGAACACCGAUGGCGAAGGCAAUCCCCUGGGCCUGCACUGACGCUCAUGCACGAAAGCGUGGGGAGCAAACAG
rnacentral:rRNA from 1 species